rnacentral:sRNA from 1 species
CAUGCGUCAUGUUGGGGAAGGUGAGAACCUUCGACAAGGUUCGAGUCGAGCAGCGCGAGACAACGCGCGUAGCGCGGCCCGGAGGGUGAGGAGCGGAGCGACGAAUAAUCCUUCCCCCACCACCA